AUUGAACGCUGGCGGCAGGCCUAACACAUGCAAGUCGAGCGAGCGGCGGACGGGUGAGUAAUGUCUGGGAAACUGCCUGAUGGAGGGGGAUAACUACUGGAAACGGUAGCUAAUACCGCAUACCAUCGGAUGUGCCCAGAGGGGAUUAGCUAGUAGGUGGGGUAAAGGCUCACCUAGGCGACGAUCCCUAGCUGGUCUGAGAGGAUGACCGGCCACACUGGAACUGAGACACGGGGCAGACUCCGCCGGGAGGGAGCAGUGGGGAAUAUUGCACAAUGGGCGGAAGCCUGAUGCAGCCAUGCCGCGUGUGUGAAGAAGGCCUUCGGGUGGUAAAGCACUGUCAGCGAGGAGGCGUUACUCGCAGAAGAGGCACCGGCUAACUCCGUGCCAGCCGCCGCGGUAAUAC
rnacentral:rRNA from 1 species